CCUACGGGAGGCAGCAGUGGGGAAUAUUGGGCAAUGGGCGCAAGCCUGACCCAGCAACGCCGCGUGAAGGAAGAAGGCUUUCGGGUUGUAAACUUCUUUUGUCAGGGACGAAGCUAGUGACGGUACCUGACGAAUAAGCCACGGCUAACUUCGUGCCAGCCGCCGCGGUAAUACGGAGGUGGGAAGCGUUAUCCGGAUUUACUGGGUGUAAAGGGCGUGUAGGCGGGACUGUAAGUCAGAUGUGAAAACCACGGGCUCAACCUGUGGCCUGCAUUGGAAACUGUAUUUCUUGAGUACUGGAGAGGUAGACGGAAUUCCUAGUGUAGCGGUAAAAUGCGUAGAUAUUAGGAGGAACACCAAUGGCGAAGGCGGUCUGCUGGACAGCAACUGACGCUGAGGCGCGAAAGCGUGGGGAGCAAACAGGAUUAGAUACCCCAGUAGUC
rnacentral:rRNA from 1 species